GUAAGUAACGCGUGGAUAACCUGCCUCACACAGGGGGACAACAGCCGGAAACGGCUGCUAAUACCGCAUAACACAAGCAAUUCGCAUGAAUAGCUUGCCAAAGAUUUUAUCGGUGUGAGAUGGAUCCGCGUCUGAUUAGCCAGUUGGCGGGGUAACGGCCCACCAAAGCGACGAUCAGUAGCCGACCUGAGAGGGUGACCGGCCACAUUGGGACUGAGACACGGCCCAAACUCC
rnacentral:rRNA from 1 species